GGCUAGGGUUCAGAAAGAACUGAGUUUCGCAGGAAACUUCAGCUCUGAUACCAAAAUGUUGUAGGCACGGGUCGAGGGUCGAACGGACGGACGGACGGACGGACUGAUGGCCGUUCCGCGGUUCAGUCUUUGGCUCGGAUGGAUAGUACCGGCCGGGUCGUCUCUUGUUGGCGUUUGUACAGAUGGAAUCUGUUGCUGGACGUGUGUCUCUCUCAACAAGAUCAACGGAUGGUUUGAGGGAUAGAAGUGGUUCCGGCUCUUGCUGGACGUGUGUCUCUCUCAAGAUCGGACAAGAGAUGGGAUGGAUCGAAGGACUCCAC
rnacentral:lncRNA from 1 species